rnacentral:rRNA from 1 species
CUUUUACAAUGAAGAGUUUGAUCCUGGCUCAGGAUGAACGCUAGCUACAGGCUUAACACAUGCAAGUCGAGGGGCAGCAUUUCAGUUUGCUUGCAAACUGGAGAUGGCGACCGGCGCACGGGUGAGUAACACGUAUCCAACCUGCCGAUAACUCGGGGAUAGCCUUUCGAAAGAAAGAUUAAUACCCGAUGG